rnacentral:lncRNA from 1 species
GAGAGAAGACUGUUCUCUGGUCAAGUUUGUGCUUCUGGGAACAUCUCAUCAAACGUCCUGCCAGCGGGCUUAGUACUAGAAUUUGAAUAUGGGCUUCUCUUUUCAUCAACCAGCUGUGUUGCUGUCAGCUUUUAUCUCGGGCUGGACACUUUGGAGUGUUUAACUGAAAGCGAUGAAAGUCUCAUGAACAUGUCUGGGAAAGAAGUUAUGAAGUAGAGGCAAGAGUGUGUUACAGGUAGGAGUCUUUUUAGGGGAGCAAUAGGAUUGUCCUCUUCUUAGAAAUAGAUUUUUUUGGCCAUGAUCCCUUCUUUCUCCUACCAGAACUGCUUAAUCCCAUUGCCUGAGCCUUCCAGCCUGGAGAUUAUCCAUCAUGUGACUAAGAAUGAGAUGACACCUGUACAGAUACACGAUUUGCCUCUCAGCUGUUUAGCUGCUUCUAUAAGAAGCCUGAGCCGUUAAGGUACUCUCAGGGCAGGAAUGACCUAGAAGAGAUGGAAUAUAAGCUCAAGACAAUAAGAUGGGGGCCUGGUCAAACACCCUUCCUUAUGUGAACUAGGAAUCUUGGUUAUAGCCCAUGUUUUUCCUUCUUCUCCAAACCCAGGUGAUGAUUUUGGUUUAAGAGCCUCAUCUAUGAGAAAUUCCAUAUCAAAAUUAUUGCAGGGAGAAUAGACCUCUUCCAUUAUCUAGAACAAAAGUUAGUACUUUCCCCUAUGUCUUCUCUUUUCUUUCUUCUGUACUUCCUAUUACUUUUGGUGCUGUAGAAAAAUUUCUCUGUCCAAAAAGAUGUGAAAUAUUUCAGACAUAUUUUACCAAGGGUGUGUGUAGCACACAUCAACUUGCUUGAGCUUCUCUGAUAUAUAGCCAAUGUUUUAAUGUUCCCAUUUAGCCAAUCCAUAAUACAUCUUCACAGUGUUGGCCUAAUCACAAAUGACAAGGGUGGAAAAUGUAAUAAAGACAGGGGCACAUUAAUCUACUUUGUAUGAAAAUGUGGAAAGGUAAUCCAAUUUUGAACUGCUUGCUUUUACAAAAUAUACAUAAGUUUGUAUGAUUUCUGCAUCUUAGUUGGGCAGAUGGUAGUCAAUCCUAAAGAGCUAUGUUUCAGGUAAAGAGUCCUCAGUCCCUUACAUGUAUGCACAGAGGUAGUGGCCCAUACUGAGAAAUAAAGAUGGGGACUCUGGGGAAUGAGUUGCCUGAUGGUCUAUUGGAAGCCUCUAUAUCUGGCAAUAUUCAGGGGUGUUCAUUCCUGUAGGUCUUAGAGAGAGAUUCCAAUGUUAGGGAUGCUGUUGUGUCUUCCCCUGCAUAGCCCCUAAGGCUAGUUCAUAUGAAAAGUAAAUCUGACUCUGCUCCCUAAAAACAAAGAUGAAAAAUCCAUAGAAGGGAGGUAGAGUCAGCUAGAAAGUGUAUUUCUAGCAGGCGAGUUGGUGUGAGGGAGAGAAUAGUUAUGAUGAAGUCAGGCUUGUCUUAAACCACAUCUGAUGUCAUUCCAAUCACUGUGUGUGUCUGCACUUGUGGGUUGUCUGCAUGGCAUGCAUGAAAUGUUGAUGCAUCUGCAGUGCUCUCA